AUUGAACGCUGGCGGCAUGCUUUACACAUGCAAGUCGAACGGUAACAGGGAGCUUGCUCCGCUGACGAGUGGCGAACGGGUGAGUAAUGCGUCGGAACGUGCCGAGUAGUGGGGGAUAACGCAUCGAAAGGUGUGCUAAUACCGCAUACGAACUGAGGUUGAAAGUGGGGGACCUUCGGGCCUCACGCUAUUCGAGCGGCCGACGUCUGAUUAGCUAGUUGGUGAGGUAAAGGCUCACCAAGGCGACGAUCAGUAGCGGGUCUGAGAGGAUGAUCCGCCACACUGAGACUAGGACCCGGCCCAGACUCCUACGUGAGGCAGCAGUGGGUAAUUUUGGACAAUGGGCGCAAGCCUGGUCCAGCCAUGCCGCGUGUCUGAAGAAGGCCUUCGGGUUGUAAAGGACUUUUGUCCGGGAGCAAAUGCUGGUGGCUAACAUCCACCGGAGCUGAGAGUACCGGAAGAAUAAGCACCGGCUAACUACGUGCCAGCCGCCGCAGUAACAC
rnacentral:rRNA from 1 species